GCUUGCUUGGCCAAGUGGUAAGGCGUCGCACUUGUAAUGCGAAGAUCGCUCGUUCGAUUCGGGUAGCAAGCA
rnacentral:tRNA from 1 species